UACGAAGGGUGCAAGCGUUAAUCGGAAUUACUGGGCGUAAAGCGUGCGUAGGUGGUUUGUUAAGUCUGUUGUGAAAGCCCCGGGCUCAACCUGGGAAUGGCAUUUGGGACUGCAAGGCUCGAGUGCGGCAGAGGAGACUGGAAUUCCUGGUGUAGCAGUGAAAUGCGUAGAUAUCAGGAGGAAUACCGAUGGCGAAGGCAGGUCUCUGGGCUGACACUGACGCUCAUGCACGAAAGCGUGGGGAGCAAACAGG
rnacentral:rRNA from 1 species